rnacentral:rRNA from 1 species
GUGGGGAAUAUUGCACAAUGGGCGCAAGCCUGAUGCAGCAACGCCGCGUGAGGGAUGACGGCCUUCGGGUUGUAAACCUCUUUUAGUAGGGAAGAAGCGAAAGUGACGGUACCUGCAGAAAAAGCACCGGCUAACUACGUGCCAGCAGCCGCGGUAAUACGUAGGGUGCAAGCGUUGUCCGGAAUUAUUGGGCGUAAAGAGCUCGUAGGCGGCUUGUCGCGUCUGCUGUGAACUCCCGGGGCUCAACCCCGGGCCUGCAGUGGGUACGGGCAGGGUAGAGUGCGGUAGGGGAGAGUGGAAUUCCUGGUGUAGCGGUGGAAUGCGCAGAUAUCAGGAGGAACACCGAUGGCGAAGGCAGAUCUCUGGGCCGCUACUGACGCUGAGGAGCGAAAGCAUGGGGAGCGAACAGGAUUAGAAACCCUGGUAGUCC